CCUACGGGAGGCUGCAGUGGGGGAUAUUGCACAAUGGGGGAAACCCUGAUGCAGCGACGCCGCGUGGGCGAAGAAGUAUUUCGGUAUGUAAAGCCCUAUCAGCAGGGAAGAAGAAAUGACGGUACCUGAGUAAGAAGCACCGGCUAAAUACGUGCCAGCAGCCGCGGUAAUACGUAUGGUGCAAGCGUUAUCCGGAUUUACUGGGUGUAAAGGGAGCGCAGGCGGCACGGCAAGCCUGAUGUGAAAGCCCGGGGCCCAACCGGGGGACUGCAUUGGGAACUACCGGGCUGGAGUGCCGGAGAGGUAGGCGGAAUUCCUAGUGUAGCGGUGAAAUGCGUAGAUAUUAGGAGGAACACCAGUGGCGAAGGCGGCCUACUGGACGGUGACUGACGCUGAGGCUCGAAAGCGUGGGGAGCAAACAGGAUUAGAUACCCGAGUAGUC
rnacentral:rRNA from 1 species